CAGUAGCCGCGGUAAUACGGAGGGAGCUAGCGUUGUUCGGAAUUACUGGGCGUAAAGCGCGCGUAGGCGGUUACUCAAGUCAGAGGUGAAAGCCCGGGGCUCAACCCCGGAACUGCCUUUGAAACUAGGUGACUAGAAUCUUGGAGAGGUCAGUGGAAUUCCGAGUGCAGAGGUGAAAUUCGUAGAUAUUCGGAAGAACACCAGUGGCGAAGGCGACUGACUGGACAAGUAUUGACGCUGAGGUGCGAAAGCGUGGGGAGCAAACAGGAUUAGAUACCCGCGUAGUCCCUGUCUCUUAUAU
rnacentral:rRNA from 1 species